rnacentral:rRNA from 1 species
CGGCGGACGGGUGAGUAACACGUGGGUAACCUACCUAUAAGACUGGGAUAACUCCGGGAAACCGGGGCUAAUACCGGAUAACACAUGAAACCGCAUGGUUUCAUGAUGAAAGACGGUUUUGCUGUCACUUAUAGAUGGACCCGCGGCGUAUUAGCUAGUUGGUAAGGUAACGGCUUACCAAGGCAACGAUACAUAGCCGACCUGAGAGGGUGAUCGGCCACACUGGAACUGAGACACGGUCCAGACUCCUACGGGAGGCAGCAGUGNU